GACGAACGCUGGCGGCGUGCUUAACACAUGCAAGUCGAACGGAAAGGCCCUGCUUUUGUGGGGUGCUCGAGUGGCGAACGGGUGAGUAACACGUGAGUAACCUGCCCUUGACUUUGGGAUAACUUCAGGAAACUGGGGCUAAUACCGGAUAGGAGCUCCUGCUGCAUGGUGGGGGUUGGAAAGUUUCGGCGGUUGGGGAUGGACUCGCGGCUUAUCAGCUUGUUGGUGGGGUAGUGGCUUACCAAGGCUUUGACGGGUAGCCGGCCUGAGAGGGUGACCGGACACAUUGGGACUGGGAUACGGCCCAGACUCCUACGGGAGGCAGCAGUGGGGAAUAUUGCACAAUGGGCGGAAGCCUGAUGCAGCAACGCCGCGUGCGGGAUGACGGCCUUCGGGUUGUAAACCGCUUUCGCCUGUGACGAAGAGUGAGUGACGGUAAUGGGUAAAGAAGCACCGGCUAACUACGUG
rnacentral:rRNA from 1 species